CCCUUAGAUGUUUUGGGCGGCCCGCGCACUACAUUGGCACUGGCAACAAGAUCCUAGAUCUGGUAUUUCGGGGUAUUCUACCAACUGGUGUCGUGACUGGGAUUAACCCCUGCAAUUAUUGGUUAUGAACGAGGAAUUCCUUGUAAUCACGGUUUAUCAACCCGUGUUGAAUGCGUCCCUGCCCUUUGUACACACCGCCCGUCGCUCCUACCGAUGAAUCGUCCGGUGAAGUUCAUGGAGUCGCGGCUGCUCCAGCUGUUUUCGAAGUGAAAUGGACCUCAUGAUUUAGAGGAAGGAGAAGUCGUAACA
rnacentral:rRNA from 1 species